GCGUGGCACAGUGGUUGGGACGUUGGGCUAGCACCUGCGAGACCAGGGUUCGAAUCCCUGCUCAGCCA